UCAGCUCUCUCACAAAAACUUUAUGCCUUCUCGCUCAGCUUUCUCGUUUGCUUCUGUAAAUUUGUUUUUUACUUCUAUGCAAUAUUACUUUGUUGCUUCUCUACUUCGAUUCUCAAAGUCUAGAUCUACUUUCUCUUCAAAUUUGACUUUGUUCUACACUUGAAGCUUGCUAUCUUCUCCACGAAUUCUGUUAUCUUCUCCAAACUUUCUCUCUCUAGCUCCCGUCUCUCUCUCUCCCUUUAUAGAUCUAAUAUUUCCUCUCAAUCUAUCUUUUUUCUUCUUCCUCAUAUCUCUCUUUUGUAGGUAGCAGGAGGUAGGGCUCUCUUGCGCAUGCCUCAUCCCUUUCCUUCCCAGCCUCCUCUUUCC
rnacentral:lncRNA from 1 species